GCACUUGUAUUACUCAUCUGUGAGUUAAUCAGCAGUAUGAAUUUAGUAGAUGUUGGCAUCAACUCGGCUCGUCACUGGUAUGAGAAGGGCAGUGAAUUAUUCCCAAUAAUGCAGUUAUCACCAAUCUCAGACAAAAAAUCGUGUUGCUGAAAAUAAGGAUCCCAAAGCUGUAGAAAACUUUUACCUGUCGGAAUUAAGAUCCAAUCCAAAUGAUGAGAUUCUCCUCAUUAACUUACUGAAUUUAUACGUGAGCUCCAAACAGUUCGCUGCAGCUCACAAGAAAAUAAUUGAGUACCAAGGAAAUCCAGCCUUUCAUCAAAGUUGGAAUGGCACAGGUGUCUUAGAAAAGUCUAUAAGGUAUGUAAAAUUGAUUGAAUAGUUCUCACCUCCUAUAAAGGUAGGAUGUGAAAUACAAUGUGGGCAAGCGAGGCUCAAAAAUACGACCGGGGGAAAAAUGGAAUACUCCUGGUCAUAAAAAGGGAAUCUUCUGCAUCAUUGUUCCAUCCAUAUUUUCUUAAAAAUAAAUAAAAAACUGAAGUGGCUCCCUAAUCCCUGUGUCAGUGUGUUAAGUAGUGGUUUCUUAGUUAUUAAAUGAGAGGGCACCGAACAGUUAUCCUGUGACCACAGAAAAAAAUAGAAUGCAGCCACACUUUCCUCUCCAGUUAACAGAAAGGACGCCUGUAGGUUAAUUCAUGGGUCUUGGGAUAAUUCUGAACAUAUAGGCUGUUAUCAAAAGAACUCUGCUAACUUCUUGCCUGCAAGGAGAAGGUGGGUCUCGGUGAACCACUUUUCUUGAGCCAGCUGCAAGCUACAGAAUCAUCCAAUAUCAACUUUAGUUAUUUCUUUUCAGUGAAGAGUAUCCUCAGCUACAAUUAUCUACCCGCAACAGAGGCAGCAGCAUUUCUUUUGGCUGUAGAAUUUUCUUUCUGUAAAAAAUUCGAUUUUUCAGAAAUCAUAAUCUUGGGGCUAUCUAAACCACCCUUAGCACUGUUGAAACUUUAAUUGAUUCUUCUCGAAGAAAUCAUUCAAACUUAUAAAAAAAAGCUUUACAUAUUUUAUCUUAUCUAUAAAAUUGGGUUUCAAUUACCAGAUUUGAAUUUAAGUACCUAUGUGGUUUCAAACAUAUUACUUUUAAUGGGACUAUGCGAACCAUUUUUUUUUUAUUGUCAAUUUUCUGGUCCACAUGAACCUAAAUGCUCUUUAUGCAAUGUUUUAUUUCCAAACUAACUGAACUUACCUUAAUUCAUCUUUUUAUGGCAAUUCAGGUAACCCCACUUUCCCCUGCGUCCUCUGGCAACCUCCAUGAAUAAGGCUGAAGACAAAUUCUUAUGACUUUAAGAGAGACACAAUAUUAACUUAUUCUUGGAGCAAGGGAAGAAGAAUCAAAGUA
rnacentral:lncRNA from 1 species